GAUGAACGCUGGCGGCGUGCCUAAUACAUGCAAGUCGAGCGAACAGACGAGGAGCUUGCUCCUCUGACGUUAGCGGCGGACGGGUGAGUAACACGUGGAUAACCUACCUAUAAGACUGGGAUAACUUCGGGAAACCGGAGCUAAUACCGGAUAAUAUAUUGAACCGCAUGGUUCAAUAGUGAAAGACGGUUUUGCUGUCACUUAUAGAUGGAUCCGCGCCGCAUUAGCUAGUUGGUAAGGUAACGGCUUACCAAGGCAACGAUGCGUAGCCCACCUAAGAGGGAGAGGGCCAAAACGGGAACAGGAGCGCGGCACGACGCCCGAGGGGGGGCGGAGGGAGGCAUUCUUGGGCAAUGGGAGAAGGCCGAAGGACGAACCGCGGCGGGGAGAAUAAGGUUCUUGGUAUAGAAAAACUGUUUUAUAGGGAAAAAAAAAUUGUGUAGUUAACAAUGCACGUUUGGACGUACCAUAACAAAAGGGCCCGGGCUAACUAGGUC
rnacentral:rRNA from 1 species